ensembl:lncRNA
GCUGAGAAAUGUUUGACUACCAUGCAGAAAACCCAAGUACCACCAUCAAAAGCUUUCCUUGUAACCUCCCUGGGAGCACUCAGGCUUCGUGAUGUGUAGGCAAUGUCAAACUCAUACCUGGCUGUCUGUGCUUCCUGACAAACAGCAAGAAACAAGGCAGGCUUCUGUUAACCGUACACAGCACUGCUGUACGGCGUGCUGCCUUUCCGGGUGCCCGAGUCCUCACAGGCGAGCGCCUUGCUGGUGGUCACAGCUGGCUCUGUCACUGCACACAGCUGUGAAAAGUGUUCAGUGCCGAGGGGAAAAAAUUACUGCCUUCCAGGAGCAACGCACAACAUGCAUGGCCACAUCCCUGCCCGGCCGGCCCUCAGCCCCAGCUGCAGCAGGUGGCAGCCCCAGAGGGACACGGCGCUCUGCAGCUGGGGCUGUGCCAGGCGGGCAGCACGUCAGCACCGCGACGCGUGUACCUGCUGGGACCAGAGCGAGCAAAGGGGAUUGCAGCAAAACCCUGACAUUGUGGAGAGAGGAGCCCCUGUGCUUAAAAUGGAAGUGGUCAGGGAAAAAAGACUGUAUUCUCUUUUUUCUUAACUGUACUCGAACUUCUCACUAAGAUAGCACCGUCAGAUGCAAGUGAUAGAACGUACAUGUGACAUCAAUUUUGUCAUCAACGCCAAAAAAAAUCUGUGCAGUUUAUAGAAACCAUGACAGAUCUUUAAAACAAAUGCAUUCUUCCCAUCCUUUUUUUUCCAACUUUUCAAUGUUGGCAGUUUAAGGAAUCUGAAAAUUGAAUCCAUCCAUCUGGCACUGGGAAAACAAACAACAUAUUUGUCUCUGUAUUCUC